rnacentral:lncRNA from 1 species
CGGUAGAUGAAUGAAGAAGCUCAUGGUUGGAAAGGCCCGGAUGGCAUUAUGGAAGCUCGGACGGUCGAGGGAGUUCAGAAAGACGCCACACAAGGUCAGAAGCCAGAAAAGCCCUAGAAGGAUCGGCCUUUUACAAACUUCAGCUGGGGGUAUUUUAUACCCAACACCAGUCCUCCUACUUCUAAGUUUGGAUUCCGAAUGAAGAAAGUACAGAAAAAUUCUCACAACUGAAGUUGCCUCUCUUGAUUUUUGUACUCGGUGAUUUUCAGAUAUUUUGGCGUUUGGCGCGCUGGUGCUGGAGUCUUUUCAAAUCAAGG